UCAGGCAACUUCGGACGAGCCCUAGUUGAACGAGUGUCCGUUUCUGCCUGGAUGCUACACGGUGAAGCGAAGAAUACUUCGAGGGUUGGCACGAGCCAGCAGGCCUUCAUCUGACGCAUGCGCAUCCUGACAGACACCGUACUCGACGAACAAGCGAGAAUACGUCACCGUUCCGGAGUUCAUCGAGGGGCGGCAUCUCUGUCGCCUAUAUAAGAAACCAUGCAGCUGGCUUGUGCACUUCAGAGCGCUCCUGGCAGCCGUACUUCACGUCUGCUAAACCGUUGAUAUGCGUCAUUUCAGCUUUCUCAUUUUUCGG
rnacentral:lncRNA from 1 species